AUUGAAUUUUUAAAAAUGCCAGGGCUCCCCCUGCAGGACAUUUGGAGCAACCACAGACGCCUCGAGGGCGGCCUGCAUCAGCCCCAGGUUUGAGGCGCGGGGAUAUUCCCGCGGCUUGUCUGUCUGCUGUUCUGUGCUUAGGCACUUCAGUCGUGUCUGACUCUUCAGUCUUGUGACCCCAUGGAUGUAGCCGGCCAGGCUUCUCUGUCCUUGGGGAUUCUCCAGAUUCUCUGUCAUCAGCAAAGCGGAACCUUCCCCCGAUCCGGGGCCACCACCACCCUCCAUCCGAGUCAGAGUGUGGGUGCUUCUUUUCACCCUGCAUGAGAUGGACAGAGCCUGCUUCUCGUUCAUUCAGUCAUUUGUGGGGAUUUUCCCAGCUGACUGAUGUUAUUCGAAAUGGAAAAGAUGGAAACCUCAGAAGCGAAUGGUUUUCAAACACGGAGGCCAGGAGUACAUGUCCUGCUAUUUUCCACCCACCCCGGUUUUAGGAUGCAGCUGGAUGGGGCAGCAAGAGAGCCCAGACCUGCAGGAGUGGCCCCGCCACCAAGUCAAGGUACUGCUGGAGACCGCGCGCGCACCAGGGAUUCAGACCUGGGGAUUACACAGCUGCACCCCUGCCCCGAGAAGUGUGUAACCUGGCCCUUCAAGACCCCAAAUAUCCCACUCCAUCUUGUUGAUCAUCUCUUUUGAAGCAUACACAAAUGUAUGAAACAAGAAAUUUUCCAUUGUUAUGACCAAAAUAACAAUUCAAACAUGAGCCUGAAAUUCUUCAUCUAUGAAUAAAUAUUUCAC
ensembl:lncRNA